rnacentral:rRNA from 1 species
GAUGAACGCUGGCGGCGUGCCUAAUACAUGCCAGUCGAGCGAACAGAUGAGGAGCUUGCUCCUCUGACGUUAGCGGCGGACGGGUGAGUAACACGUGGAUAACCUACCUAUAAGACUGGGAUAACUUCGGGAAACCGGAGCUAAUACCGGAUAAUAUAUUGAACCGCAUGGUUCAAUAGUGAAAGACGGUUUUGCUGUCACUUAUAGAUGGAUCCGUGCCGCAUUAGCUAGUUGGUAAGGUAACGGCUUACCAAGGCAACGAUGCGUAGCCGACCUGAGAGGGUGAUCGGCCACACUGGAACUGAGACACGGUCCAGACUCCUACGGGAGGCAGCAGUAGGGAAUCUUCCGCAAUGGGCGAAAGCUUGACGGAGCAACGCCGCGUGAGUGAUGAAGGUCUUCGGAUCGUAAAACUCUGUUAUUAGGGAAGAACAAAUGUGUAAGUAACUAUGCACGUCUUGACGGUACCUAAUCAGAAAGCCACGGCUAACUACGUG